GACUCCUAGUUCCUCCUCAAGGGAUAUAGAUAACAAUGUGAUGCAACAUAUCCUUGAGUUGUUUUACAGAAACCAGAACCCUGUGAUGAAACCUGCUGACCACAGCCAAGGAGACUCAGAGAAGUUGGAGCCAGACGAGUGAUGACCAGCAUGCCAGAUAUCACUUUAUUGCUUAACACCCAUCCAGUCAGAAGAAUCCAUGAGCUAAUCACAUGCUUCAGACCCUUACCCUUAAUUUUAGUCUUUAAAAACGCUUGCCUGAAAGCCGUCAGGGAGUUCAGGUCCUUUAAGCAUUAGGUGCCCAUUCUCCCUGCUUGGUACCCUGCAAAUAAAUGCUGAACUUUCCUUCACCACAACCCUGUGUCAGUAGAUUGACUUUCCUGUGCAUUGGGUGAGCAAACACAAGUUUGGUUCAGUAACAACCUGUGUUUCGGUUGGGAGAGGUCAGUGGUUUUCCUUAAUGACUUUUCAGUUUUUUGAAUAUUAGGAGCACUUUCAAACACACAAAAGAAUAAACUCUCACAGCCAUCACCCAGAUUCAUGAACAAGCUUCUUCUUCAUUUGCCUUAUCUAUUUUUAUUUUAUUUUUUGCUGAAAUAUUUUAAAGUAAAUCCCAGACAUCAUUCUGUUUCAUCCUUAAAAUUUCAGUAUCUCUCUCUUAAAACAGAAGGGUGUUUUCUUAUAUAAUCACAAUAUUAUUGUCCCAGCUAAUAAAUUUCAUAUUCCCUAAUAUUUAAUACUCUGUACAUAUUCAAAUUUUACUGCUCUUCUACAAUUGAUUUAUUGAAGCCAGGAUCUAAGUAAGGGGCACACAGUUCUCUCCAUCUGCUAAACUAGAACAGCACCUCAUUCCCCAAGCCAUUAAAGUAUUGAAGCCCUGUUGAAGGUCAUAUCUGGUGGACUUGUUUGGUUGCUUCAUCAUAGUCACCUUGAUAGCUUCAGUUUGUUAUUGAAGUUUUAUAGCCUCCUGGAGCAUAUUGAAAUACUCCCUUUUUGCUGUUCUCUAGAAGACUCUGGAUACUACUAAGAUAAAUGUUUGUCUUUGAUGAAAUGGCCUCUAAUCCAAUGACUGGUGUCUUUAUAAGAAAAGAAAACAGAAGACAUAGGCACACACACAGUGGGGAGGCCUCAUGAAGACAAGACAGAGGUUGGAGUGAUGAAUCUACAUGCCAAGAAAGACCAUGUAUUCCUGGCAACCACCAGAAGCUAGAGGAGACAAGGAAAGAUUCUUCCCUAGAUCCUUUGGACGGAUCAUGAUCCUACCUAUACCUUGAUGUCAGACUUCUACCUUGCAGAGUUGUGAGAGAAUAUCUUUUUGGUUUAAGCCACCGAGUUUGUGGUACUUUGUUAUGGCAGCCCUAGGAAACUUAAUACAGUGGUCAUGAACCCACCUCAGCCCCCAAGCUAGUGCUGUCCCCUAGACUAAUAACCCAUUCCUGCCUAGAUAUGAGAGGUGAAGGAUUCGAGGAGGUCAAGCCACAAGAGUCUUCUCACACAUUUAUUUUCACUGACCAGUUUGAGAGAUAAGCCUGUAGCAUCCUGCAACAGGGAUGCUUACACUGACAUAGCCACACAAACUCAAACCUUCCUGUCCUUGGGAUUUACUUCGGGAUAGUAAUUAAGUUGGUUUUUUUCCAAGGCUGGGGGAGAAGUAAGAAUCUCUACCGUAAAAAGUAAACGAUAGUAUCCUUUAGCCUCUGCUACUUUAUCAUCAAGUGUACACAAGAUGGGUCUCCAUUUUCCCUUUUAUCCUCUGUCCUCACUUGUACUUCCCAUCCCCCAGUAUUCACCCACUCUAAUGUGUGCCGUGUAAGUCUUUGCAUAUAUGUGUUCCUUCUAAAAUAUAUCAAUUUGUGGAUGAUUGUGUCCUUAGUUUAUGUGCAUAGACUUAUGUUUUAGACCUCAUUUAUUUUCUACAAUUUAUACUCGACAUCCUUUAUUAAAAGAUCUGUGCUGGUUGUCAUGAACGUAGAAUUCAUUGUUUCUAACUUGAAUUUCACUGUAUGCACCCACCAUAUUUUAUUUAUCAUUUUCUCUAGUGAUGAACACCAAGCUGCCUCCAACUUCCCACCACUACAAACAAUGCUGCUGAUGACCAUUCUCACCCCUGUCCCUUUAAGGACCUGGGUGAGAGUCCCUCUGUUGGCUCCUAAAAUUCAGAAGAGCUGACGUAACUGGACGCUGCCUAGAUAUAUGUGGUGUGCUUCACUGGAUUGGAUAA